GUCAAUUUUCAUAUGCAAAUCGAGUGGCGAAACAAUUGACAAACUUUGUCUAAGGCAACAACAAUAAAAAAUGGAGCAAAAUGAUGAGACAAAAAAAUAUAUAAUAGGAAAGAAAAUGCAGAGGAAAAGCGGAAAAGCGGCGGGAGUGGCAGAAUCAACAAGAAUAUAAAUAUGCAAAUGAAAAGGCAACACAGAUGUUCAAUCAACAGUUGACUGCCACUCUCCGAGGACUGUUUCGAUGCAGAUGAAAAGUACACAAGCCGACAUUCAAAUAUGGCCACUGUCAGAAAGCAUUUCCAAAGCAGGGAUUUAUCAUAGAAUGGUAGUAUAGUCCUCAAAAAAUAUUCUUUUUUGAAAAACAGACUUUUUUCGACUAUAAUUCGCAACUGGUUGUGGCCGACAGUAUGAAGUGACAGUAAGGAGUAGCCUAUUUUUCAAUAGCCCAAUGUUUUGUAAGUAUGGUAACUCCCUCCACCAGCUCUCGUUCCAUCUCACACCCACGCCUCUUGCUAUUAAGCUCAGAGCAGAGCCCCCCUCGAAAUAAAGGCCCCAGGCUGCCCCAGGAAGAAAGUAUAGAGAAUAAAUAAUAAAGGGAGACAGCCUGCUGGGCAAUCAGUUCUUGCUGUUGACAGUUCAAUUUUCCAAAAAAAAAACAAAACAACAAAUUUUUUGUUUUCGGAAAAAAACUUUAUUUGUGGGAGAGUUACAAAAAUCCAAAUAUUUUAUAACAAAAACUAUGCGAAGAAAUAGGAAUUACGAGGAAGGCAGUACUUUUCUUUUGGAGUCUUUGGAGAAAUUGUAACAAAGAAAGUCACAAACAGACGUUGAGGAAUAAAUGGAAAGGGGCUCUAUAUACUCUAAACACUCUUUUUAAUCAAAAACCAAGAAAUAAAAGCCAAGAAAUCAAGGCCUAAAGGGAGCCCAGAGGCAUAGAGAUGGUAAGAAUAUAAGGUUUUGGAGUUAGAGGCUCUAGAUUUUGAAAUUAUUUGACAAAUUUUGAAGUAAAAUUAAGCAAUAAAAUUGUAUAUACAA